rnacentral:rRNA from 1 species
AAAACUUUCAACAACGGAUCUCUUGGUUCUGGCAUCGAUGAAGAACGCAGCGAAAUGCGAUAAGUAAUGUGAAUUGCAGAAUUCAGUGAAUCAUCGAAUCUUUGAACGCACAUUGCGCCCGCCAGUAUUCUGGCGGGCAUGCCUGUCUGAGCGUCAUUUCAACCCUCAUGCCCCUAGGGCGUGGUGUUGGGGAUCGGCCAAAGCCCGCAAGGGACGGCCGGCCCCUAAAUCUAGUGGCGGACCCGUCGUGGCCUCCUCUGCGAAGUAGUGAUAUUCCGCAUCGGAGAGCGACGAGCCCCUGCCGCUUAAACCCCGAAACUUUUACAAGGUUGACCUCAGAUCAGGCAGGAAUACCCGCUGAACUUAAGCAUAUCAAUAAGCGGAGGAAAAGAAACCAACAGGGAUUGCCCUAGUAACGGCGAAUGAAGCGGCAACAACUCAAAUUUGAAAUCUGGCGCAAGCCCGAGUUGUAAUUUGUAGAGGAUGUUUCUGGCGACGUGCCUUCCGAGUUCCCUGGAACGGGACGCCAUAGAGGGUGAGAGCCCCGUACGGUUGGAUGCCUAGCCUCUGUGAAACUCCUUCGACGAGUCGAGUAGUUUGGGAAUGCUGCUCUAAAUGGGAGGUAUACGUCUUCUAAAGCUAAAUACCGGCCAGAGACCGAUAGCGCACAAGUAGAGUGAUCGAAAGAUGAAAAGCACUUUGAAAAGAGGGUUAAAAAGUACGUGAAAUUGUUGAAAGGGAAGCG